rnacentral:rRNA from 1 species
CUUGAGCUGUGUACAGGUGGUGCAUGGUUGUCGUCAGCUCGUGUCGUGAGAUGUUGGGUUAAGUCCCGCAACGAGCGCAACCCCUCGUUCUAUGUUGCCAGCACGUGAUGGUGGGGAACUCAUAGGAGACUGCCGGGGUCAACUCGGAGGAAGGUGGGGAUGACGUCAAAUCAUCAUGCCCUUUAUGUCUUGGGCUUCACGCAUGCUACAAUGGCUGGUACAGAGAGAGGCGAACCCGUGAGGGUGAGNGAAUCCCUUAAAGCCAGUCUCAGUUCGGAUCGUAGUCUGCAAUUCGACUACGUGAAGUCGGAGUCGCUAGUAAUCGCAGAUCAGCAACGCUGC